rnacentral:rRNA from 1 species
AUCUGCCGUGGGCGCUGGAGAACUGAGGGGGGCUGCUCCUAGUACGAGAGGACCGGAGUGGACGCAUCACUGGUGUUCGGGUUGUCAUGCCAAUGGCACUGCCCGGUAGCUAAAUGCGGAAGAGAUAAGUGCUGAAAGCAUCUAAGCACGAAACUUGCCCCGAGAUGAGUUCUCCCUGAGACUUAGAGUCUCCUGAAGGAACGUUGAAGACGACGACGUUGAUAGGCCGGGUGUGUAAGCGCAGCGAUGCGUUGAGCUAACCGGUACUAAUGAACCGUGAGGCUUAACCUUAC